rnacentral:rRNA from 1 species
UACGUAGGUGGCAAGCGUUGUCCGGAUUUACUGGGCGUAAAGAGCGCGCAGGCGGUCGUUCAAGUCGCGUGUGAAAGCCCCCGGCUCAACUGGGGAGGGUCACGCGAUACUGAUCGACUCGAAGGCAGGAGAGGGUAGUGGAAUUCCCGGUGUAGUGGUGAAAUGCGUAGAUAUCCGGAGGAACACCAGUGGCGAAGGCGGUGCUCUGGGCCGGAACUGACGCUGAGGAGCGAAAGCGUGGGGAGCAAACAGG